UACGGAGGGGGCGAGCGUUGUCCGAAGUUACUGGGCGUAAAGCGCGCGUAGGCGGGUUGGUAAGUCCGCUGUGAAAGCCCGGAGCUCAACUCCGGAGGGUCGGUGGAUACUGCCAGUCUUGAAGGUGCUAGGGGGAGAUGGAAUUGACCGGUGUAGCGGAUGAAAUGCGUAGAGAUCGGUAGGAACACCAGUGGCGAAGGCGGUCUCCUGGGGCAUUCUUGACGCUGAGGCGCGAAAGCUGGGGGAGCAAACGGG
rnacentral:rRNA from 1 species